rnacentral:rRNA from 1 species
UACAGAGGUCCCAAGCGUUGUUCGGAUUCACUGGGCGUAAAGGGUGCGUAGGCGGUCGGGUAAGUCUGGCGUGAAAUCUCCAAGCCUAACUUGGAAACUGCGUUGGAUACUAUCCGGCUCGAGGAAUGGAGGGGAGACUGGAAUACUUGGUGUAGCAGUGAAAUGCGUAGAUAUUCGGAAGAACACCAGUGGCGAAGGCAGCGAAUUGGCGCUAUAUUGACGCUCAGGCACGAAAGCAUGGGGAUCAAACAGG